rnacentral:rRNA from 1 species
GACGAACGCUGGCGGCGUGCCUAAUACAUGCAAGUCGAACGGAGUGGCGAACGGGUGAGUAUUGUAUCGGAACGUGCCCCGUAGCGGGGGAUAACUACGCGAAAGAGUAGCUAAUACCGCAUACUAUUGGCGCGGCCGAUAGCGGAUUAGCUAGUUGGUGGGGUAACGGCUCACCAGGGCGACGAUCCGGAGCUGGUUUGAGUGGACGACCAGCCACACUGGGACUGAGAAACGGCACGGACUCCUACGGGAGGCAGCAGUGGGGAAUUUUGGACAAUGGGGGAAACCCUGAUCCAGCCAUCCCGCGUGUGCGAUGAAGGCCUUCGGGUUGUAAAGCACUUUUGGCGGGAAAGCGGUACCUGCAGAAUAAGCACCGGCUAACUACGUGCCAGCAGCCGCGGUAAUAC